GGCAUGAAACCGUGUUCGUCAGGAAAACUGCAGCUCCCCAAACCGCAGCGAGGUCGAAUCGAUCGAUUCUUGACCCCAGGACACGGGAUCCACCCUAUAUAAGUUCCCCAACCCCUCCUCUACCGAUUUUUCUUCGUUUCGCCGCCUCCCGUGCCCUAGAACGGCGCACAGAUCUCACCGGAGUUUGCCGCCGUCUGAAGCUUCUGCCGGUCGAUUGCAUCGCCUCUGGAGGGAAGCACCCACCCGAGUGCUUCGAGCUCGCCCCAACGAACACCCCACCGCCCGAGCUCCAGCCACCCUCUGUCGUCAUCCCCGCUCGCCACCGACGCCGCUGAGGACGUCGUCGAGACCGCAGCAGAGCUCCACGCCCCGUACGAUACCCUCUGGAGUCUAGAGACCACCGAAGCAGGCGCCACCAUCGCCGCCCGAGCCGCCCCGCGCCGUUCUUCCUCAAGUCCGGCGACCAGCCUCUGUUCUUCUCCGAUUGUCCGAAGUGCGAAGCGGGUCGGAAUUUAUCGUUAGAGUACUUCAACAGUGUUCAAGGCAAGUUUGCACUUUUGAAUAUGCUCACCCUAUAUUCUGCUAUGCAUGUGUUGUUCUUAUGCUAUGAGUAUAUGUUUGGUUGAUCAUUAUUUUUCGUGCUGCCAUGUUUUGGUGUUGAUUGUGUUAUGUGAUGGUGUGAUCAACUUUAUGGUAGACGUGGGCAUGUGUCGAGUGAUCCAUGAAAGUGGUGAGUGUUUAUAGCCGUAGGCUCGGGAUUAUUAACCAGGUGAAUGCGUCAUUGGCAGAGCGCUCUAUUGUCCCUAGAGAAUGCGCCAUUGACGAAGCGCACUUGAGGUGAGGUAUAGUUUUCGGAACAUAAAUCAGGUGACUGCGUCCUUGGUAGAGCGCUCUAUUGUUCCUAGAGAAUGCGCCAUUGACGGAGCGCACUUGAGAGACUUCUGAAGUUCUUGUCAUGUUUUCUUAGAAUCUUUGGGUUAUCUUGGGCGAAUAAGUUUAGAUGCGGUUGUAAUUAAGUUCAGUUAGUGGAGGUAGGUGAAGACAUUCUUCUCCAAACUAACUUGAGUGUUUUGUUUGUCAUACUUUGCUUGUGGAUGUAGGUUUGCUAUAUUAUAUUGUGUGAUUUGCCAAUACAUUCAAUGUAUUGACCCCUUGUGGCUGCAACUUAUCAUGUUGCAGGAUUUUUAGAUGAUCAGUGAGAUACAGUAGGGUCGCGAGUCUUCACUCAACAUUUUUCUCUAGUGGGCAUUGAUGGGACUCAUCGUUUGUUUAUGCUGCAUUUUCGCUAUUAUUAUUGAGUAAAGCUAGUUGUGUACUAUGAGUUUGUAAUACUUUAUGAAUUCUGGAUCAUACGUUAUAGUAAAUGAUGCACCUGUUAUUUGAUA